rnacentral:tRNA from 1 species
AACCACCUUUAGGGUAAUAAAUGAUUUUGAACAUCAUGAAAAGGUGUUCGACUCACCUGGUGGUUU